UACAGAGGUCCCAAGCGUUGUUCGGAUUCACUGGGCGUAAAGGGUGCGCAGGUGGCGCUUCAAGUUUGAUGUGAAAGCCCCGGGCUUAACCCGGGAAUGGCAUUGAAUACUGGGGCGCUGGAGGGUUGGAGGGGGGACUGGAAUUCUCGGUGUAGCAGUGAAAUGCGUAGAUAUCGAGAGGAACACCAGUGGCGAAGGCGGGUCCCUGGACAACACCUGACACUGAGGCACGAAAGCUAGGGGAGCAAACAGG
rnacentral:rRNA from 1 species